rnacentral:rRNA from 1 species
UACGUAGGGACCAAGCGUUGUUCGGAUUUACUGGGCGUAAAGGGCGCGUAGGCGGCGCGGUAAGUCACUUGUGAAAUCUCUGAGCUUAACUCAGAACGGCCAAGUGAUACUGCUGUGCUAGAGUGCAGAAGGGGCAAUCGGAAUUCUUGGUGUAGCGGUGAAAUGCGCAGAUAUCAGGAGGAACACCGGUGGCGAAGGCGGCUCACUGGCCCGAUACUGACGCUGAGGUGCGAAAGCGUGGGGAGCAAACAGG